rnacentral:tRNA from 1 species
AUUUAUAUAGUAUAAAAAUUAUAUUUGAUUUCCAAUCAAAAGAACUAAAUAAAUUAGUGUAAAUA